rnacentral:rRNA from 1 species
AAUCAAGUGCCUUAAGGGUGUUCGGUGGAUGCCUUGGCGCUGAGAGGCGAUGAAGGACGUGCUACGCUGCGAUAAGCCGUGGGGAGCUGCGAAGAAGCUUUGAUCCGCGGAUUUCCGAAUGGGGAAACCCACCUUCGAUAGCCGGAACUCCAAGACCUCAGUCGAAAGACUGUGGUGUGGGGUUCGACCAGAUAAUGGAAGGCUCCAGACCUUUAGAUUCCGAUCGAAGAGGUUUUGGAUUUCCGGUUAUCAAGAGAAGGUAUGAGACUUCUGAAUACAUAGGAGGUUUCAAGCAAACCCAGGGAACUGAAACAUCUAAGUACCUGGAGGAAAGGACAUCAACAGAGACUCCGUUAGUAGUGGCGAGCGAACGCGGACCAGGCC